rnacentral:rRNA from 1 species
UGGGGAAUUUUGGACAAUGGGGGAAACCCUGAGCCAGCCAUCCCGCGUGUGCGAUGAAGGCCUUCGGGUUGUAAAGCACUUUUGGCAGGAAAGAAACGUCAUGGGUUAAUACCCCGUGAAACUGACGGUACCUGCAGAAUAAGCACCGGCUAACUACGUGCCAGCAGCCGCGGUAAUACGUAGGGUGCAAGCGUUAAUCGGAAUUACUGGGCGUAAAGCGUGCGCAGGCGGUUCGGAAAGAAAGAUGUGAAAUCCCAGAGCUCAACUUUGGAACUGCAUUUUUAACUACCGGGCUAGAGUGUGUCAGAGGGAGGUGGAAUUCCGCGUGUAGCAGUGAAAUGCGUAGAUAUGCGGAGGAACACCGAUGGCGAAGGCAGCCUCCUGGGAUAACACUGACGCUCAUGCACGAAAGCGUGGGGAGCAAACAGG